rnacentral:rRNA from 1 species
UACGAAGGGGGCUAGCGUUGCUCGGAAUGACUGGGCGUAAAGGGCGCGUAGGCGGAAUGCUUUGUCGGGCGUGAAAUUCCAGGGCUCAACCUUGGGGCUGCGUUCGAGACGGGUGUUCUAGAGUUUGGAAGAGGGUCGUGGAAUUCCCAGUCGUAGAGGUGAAAUUCGUAGAUAUUGGGAAGAACACCGGUGGCGAAGGCGGCGACCUGGUCCGUUGACUGACGCUGAGGCGCGAAAGCGUGGGGAGC